GAUGAACGCUGGCGGUAUGCUUAACACAUGCAAGUCGAACGGCCUCUUCGGAUUUAGUGUCGGACGGGUGAGUAACGCGUGAGAAUCUGGCUUUGGGUUCGGGACAACCACUGGAAACGCUGGCUAAUACCGUAUGUGCUGCGAGGUAAAAGAGACAUUGCCUGAAGAGGAGCCGGCGUAUGAUUAGCUAGUUGGUGAGGUAAAGACUUACCAAGUCAGCGAUCAGUAGCUGGUCUGAGAGGAGGACCAGCCACACUGGGACUGAGACACGGCCCAGACUACUACGGGAGGCAGCAGUGGGGAAUGUUCCGCAAUGGGCGAAAGCCUGAUGGAGCAAUACCGCGUGAGGAAAGAAGGCUGCAGGGUUGUAAACUUGUUGGCUUAGGGAAGAUGAAAAUGACGGUACCUGAGGAAUAAGCACCGGCUAACUCCGUG
rnacentral:rRNA from 1 species